UACGGGGGGAGCAAGCGUUGUUCGGAUUUACUGGGCGUAAAGGGCGCGUAGGCGGCCAGCACAAGUCAGUUGUGAAAUCUCCGAGCUUAACUCGGAACGGUCAACUGAUACUGUGCGGCUAGAGUGCGGAAGGGGCAACUGGAAUUCUUGGUGUAGCGGUGAAAUGCGUAGAUAUCAAGAGGAACACCUGAGGUGAAGACGGGUUGCUGGGCUGACACUGACGCUGAGGAGCGAAAGCGUGGGGAGCGAACAGG
rnacentral:rRNA from 1 species